rnacentral:rRNA from 1 species
AACGAACGCUGGCGGCAGGCCUAACACAUGCAAGUCGAGCGAGGACUUCGGUCCUAGCGGCGGACGGGUGAGUAACGCGUGGGAACGUGCCCCUUGGUACGGAAUAGCCCCGGGAAACUGGGAGUAAUACCGUAUGAGCUCUACGGAGGAAAGAUUUAUCGCCAAGGGAUCGGCCCGCGUUGGAUUAGGUAGUUGGUGGGGUAAUGGCCUACCAAGCCGACGAUCCAUAGCUGGUUUGAGAGGAUGAUCAGCCACACUGGGACUGAGACACGGCCCAGACUCCUACGGGAGGCAGCAGUGGGGAAUCUUAGACAAUGGGCGAAAGCCUGAUCCAGCCAUGCCGCGUGAGUGAUGAAGGCCUUAGGGUUGUAAAGCUCUUUCAGUAGGGAAGAUAAUGACGGUACCUACAGAAGAAGCCCCGGCUAACUUCGUGCCAGCCGCCGCCGUAACAC